rnacentral:rRNA from 1 species
AUAACCACUAAAAAUAAUUAAAUAGCUGCGGUAACACCUGACCGUACAAAGGUAGCACAAUAAAUCGCCUACUAAUUAUAGGAUAGAAUGAAGGUAAAACGAAGAUCUUACUGUCUCAAGACCAUAAAAUUUAAAAUAGAAUGUGUGUGUAAAUCCAUACUAAGACGGCAAGACGAUAAGACCCUAAGAACUUUACCUAAAGUUUAAAUAAAAACACCAUUCCUAAAUUCUAAGUUUCGUUGGGGCAACGAUCUUUAAAAAAGUAACUAAGAUUAACCAAUCAAUAAAAAAAAAACAUGAAAAUAAUAUAAAGAUAAGACCCAUUAAAAAAAAAAUUAAUGAUAAUAUAAUAAAAGUUCCUUAGGGAUAACAGCGUCAUAUCGUU